rnacentral:rRNA from 1 species
AUGACGAAAAGGAACAGAAACUAUUACCUAAUGCCAGAUGAAGAAGACCCGGUAAGACCAGUUCCAAACAAGAUUGGAAAAGUUAUGUUUCUCACAGCAGUUGCAAGGCCCAGAUACGACGCUGAAGGGAAUGUCACAUUCUCAGGAAAGAUCAUGGUGAACAGAGAAGUCAUGAGACGAUACAUGAUUGAGAAAGUUGUUCCUGCAAUAAAAGAUGUGUGGCCCUUUGAAGAUGUUGGACAAACAGUCUUCAUCCAACAGGACAAUGCAAGGACACAUAUUUUACCUAAUGAUGUUGAGUUCGCAGAAGCAGUGGCUGAGACCGGUAUGGACAUCAAACUAAUGCAACAACCCCCAAAUUCUCCUGACUUGAACGCUCUUGACCUUGGGUACUUCAGAUCCCUAGAGUCUCUAACGGACUGCAGAGCCCCUACCACCAUCCCUGAACUAAUUCAAGGGGUACAAGAAGAAUUCGAUGACUAUGAAGUUGGAAAACUGAACAGAAUCUUCCUAACACUCCAAACAUGUAUGGUGGAAGUCAUGAAUCAUGCAGGAGGAAAUGCUUACAAAAUUCCACACGUCAACAAACAAAGAUUUGAAAGAGAUGGAACUCUACCUCCUAGGAUCCAGUUCCCACGUGAAGUGUACUACAAUGCCCUAGAGAAUCUAGAACAAGAUGAACACUGA